UACGAAGGGAGCUAGCGUUGUUCGGAAUCACUGGGCGUAAAGCGCACGUAGGCGGAUGUGUCAGUCAGGGGUGAAAUCCCGGAGCUCAACUUCGGAACUGCCUUUGAUACAGCACAUCUGGAGUCCGGAAGAGGUGGGUGGAAUUCCUAGUGUAGAGGUGAAAUUCGUAGAUAUUAGGAAGAACACCGGUGGCGAAGGCGGCGCUCUGGACCGAGACUGACGCUGAGGCGCGAAAGCGUGGGGAGCAAACAGG
rnacentral:rRNA from 1 species